AGGCUUGAACUGACAUCACAGCUCUGCUCUACUCUUAUCACUGAGCUGUGUGGAAUUAUCCCUGCUACACAUGGAGCUGAGGACUGUCUGGAGUUUAGCUCUUGUUGUGUGUGGUGUGAAGAUGUCAGGCUUGAUCAGUCUCCAUCUCAAGUUAAAAGACCUGGAGACACUGUUAAACUGGUCUGUCAAACCUCUGGGUUUACAAUGACAAGCUUCUACAUGUACUGGAUAAGGCAGAAACAAGGGAAAGCUCUGGACUGGAUUGGGAGCAUGGAUACUGGUAACUCUGAUGCAGUUUAUGCAGACUCUUUUAAAGAUCACUUCACCCUGACUGAGGAUGUCUCCACCAGCACACAGUACUUGGAGGCCAGGAGUCUGACAGUAGAGGACUCUGCUGUUUACUACUGUGCUCGAGAGACACAGUGACAGGAGAUGGUGACGCAGCUGUACAGAAACACAACAUGGCCUCCUGGUGUAACACUCUAUCUACAUAAGAGUUAAGAGAAGUUAUAGUGAACUAAAACUAUAGCACUGAAACUGUUAAAGGAUCUUGACAUGAAAUAAAUAUGGUGCAUUUUAUCUUU